GGGUGUAAUUUCACCCAUCUCUGCAGUGACAUUUCCCAUCCUUCAGGACAGCAGAGGUGAAACUCCUCUUUCAGCAGCACAAUUUCAGGAAUAACUAUCCUGAAUUACAAGGAUAGUGAAUUGGAACACAUCCUUUAGAAAGAUGCCUAAUCCCAUUUUUAAAGCUCUGAGUGAUGGCUUCAGCUGCCAUGCAGCCUCCGAGUCCUGAUGCUGUUUUCUGUGAUAGACGCCCAGUGCAUGCACCAGUGAGUCCUGCUGAGGGCUGGGCUGCUGUGUGAGGCUCCUCUGGGGGCUGAUGCUCAGAGGCUGAUAUCAUCGUGCUGGAACCAGGCUUUGUGGCGACAUGCCUCUCCCUCCCUCCAGCAUCCAGCUCACCCUGGCCACAUGUGCAGCCCAGGCCACGACCUCGGCCUUGGCUGGGCUCUGACGCCCAUUUAACAGUCAGAGGCUGGAAAGGGAGUUGCUGCUGUGCUAUUUUUAACCAGCUGGACAGUUAAAUAAUUCAGAGGCAGACACACACAGAGUGGUCUGGGCUGUGUGUGGAUCUGAGAGGGAACAAGAGCAUUGUAUCAACCCUGCUGGGCUUGCUUAACCUCAUCAAGCAUGGGUUCUCAGGCUCUUUAAUACAAACAUGAAACAAAAACUAAACUUUCAGAAGUAAAAUCCCUGCCUUACUGGCGUCAAUGGGACUCCUGGCUCUGAGUGCAAUGGAGCCUGGAUCACACUUAGCUGCAAGGCAAGAGCUGUUCAGUAUUUCCUUGCUUUCUAAUGCUGCAUAAUUUUUUUUC
rnacentral:lncRNA from 1 species